GACGAACGCUGGCGGCGUGCUUAACACAUGCAAGUCGAACGGUCAAGCGCCUUCCUUUCUGGUGGGUGUGGAUGAGUGGCGAACGGGUGAGUACCACGUGAGUCUCCUGCUCCCUCUUUCUGGACAACCGCAUGAAAGUGUGGCUAAUACGGGAUAUUCUGGGUCUGUUGCUUGAUGGGUGUGGGACAGAUUUUGUUUCGGUGGGGGAUGGGUCCGCGGUGUAUCAGCUUGUUGGUGGGGUGAUGGCCUACCAAGGCGGUGACGGGUAGCCGGCCUGGGAGGGUGGACGGUCACACUGGGACUGAGACACGGCCCAGACUCCUACGGGAGGCAGCAGUGGGGAAUAUGGCACAGUGGGCGCAAGCCUGAUGCAGCGACGCCGCGGGAGGGAUGGAGGCCUUCGGGUUGUGAACCUCUUUCGCCAGUGAAGCAGGCCUGCCUCGUUUGUGGGUGGGUUGACGGUAGCUGGAUAAGAAGCGCCGGCUAACUACGUG
rnacentral:rRNA from 1 species